AACACCACCAUCAUCAAACAUCACGCAUCAUCAUCUUCUUCACCAUCAUCACCAUGUUCAUCAUCAUACAUCCAUGAAAGCUUCUUGCAAGUUGCAAAUCCACUGCUCAUCUUCUUCUACGUGUAACCCAUCAAUCCAAACACCAUCACCAACCUUCUCCUCCACAAGAAUCACCACCCAAAUCAUCCAAUCAAAUUUGAUUUUCAAUCUGAUUUCUCACACCAUUUCACCUAUAAAUAGAGCAAGAAUUUACUCAAUUCAAUUCACAAAUCGAUUGCAAACCCAUCCUCAAAAUUUCAGCAAGUUUAAAUUCAAGAAAAUUCAUUUAAAUUUCACAAAUAAACUCCCUGCUUCUCGUUGCUCCGGUCAACCACCACCGCGGCUAUGCCGCUGCGUCAGCCACCACCACCCUGCUUCUUCGACCUUCUCCUCCUCCUUCCGCCUCCUGCUCCUCCCUUCUGCUCGCCGUCCUCCCUCCACCACCGUCGCCCUCCUCCUCUCCCCUUCCUCUCGCGACUCCCUCCUCUCUCCUUCCUCUUCGCUGCGCCCCCUGCAGCGUCACCACCGUCGGAACCCGCGACCACCCUUGCAGCACCGCAACCACCUUCUGUGUUGCCGUUGUCCCAGCCCAGCCGACGAACCCAGCCUCACGCAACUCCCCCUUCCCCUCCUCCUUUCCUCGUGCCUUUUCUCUGUAAACAAGACCAACAUUUGGUCUUUAAAAACAAAACAGUAAAAUUAAAGGACCCAGGUUCAUAUUCUCUUGACCCAUUAAAGAAAGAGGUCCUUGGAGCUCAAGAAGAACGGCUCAUCGAAAGUAAGGAAAACGAGUGCUAAUAGAGGUUGAGGUACCGAAGAGGACAACGGGAUGGAUUAGUGGUGAGGACGUAUCCGUUAAAGCAAGAAAUACAAAGAUGAUGCACCCAGAAUUGAAAUCGUGCAAAGAAUAAAUUCUGCAAGGAAAACAAAAGCAGGAGGAGAAGAAGAAAAUCCUGACAACAAUGGAAACCAAGAACGUGGUAGAGGAAGGACAUGAUGUGUUGGUGGAAAAAAGAGACGUGGUUCACGUGGACGUGUCGAUUAGUAUUUUUUAGUUCAAAAAACAUUUGAGUUUAACAUGGUUUAUUUAAUAGAUGCAAAGAAUUAGAAGUCGUAGUUAAAACAACUAACCAAGUAGUUAAUGUUUUCUUUAUUAUUGUUCAAGAGUUAUAAUUACUGUUACUUUUGAUAUAGUUACUCUUUUAUAUUUCAGUAAUUAUGUGAUAUAUAAUAGAAAAAAUUAUUAUAUGACCUCUAAA